UACAGAGGGUGCAAGCGUUAAUCGGAAUUACUGGGCGUAAAGCGUGCGUAGACGGUUGCGUAAGUCAGGUGUGAAAUCUCGGAGCUCAACUCCGAAACUGCACUUGAUACUGCCUUGCUCGAGUACUGGAGAGGAGAUUGGAAUUUACGGUGUAGCAGUGAAAUGCGUAGAUAUCGUAAGGAAGACCAGUGGCGAAGGCGAAUCUCUGGAACAGUUACUGACACUGAGGCACGAAGGCUAGGGGAGCAAACGGG
rnacentral:rRNA from 1 species